rfam:Spinacia oleracea cultivar SynViroflay scaffold5459.con0012.1, whole genome shotgun sequence.
GGGCAAAAUGAUGAUAAAUUAAAUAAAUAUCUUAGCGGAUUUCAGUGAGGUCAUUGAUCUAUGAUCUGAUUGUUACACACACUGAUGCCC